ACGAACCGAGCGAACGUUGUUCGGAAUCACUGGGCUUAAAGGGCGCGUAGGCGGGCUGUCAAGUCUGGGGUGAAAUCCCGCGGCUCAACCGUGGAACUGCCUCAGAUACUGACGGUCUCGAGGGAGGUAGGGGCGAGCGGAACUGAUGGUGGAGCGGUGAAAUGCGUUGAUAUCAUCAGGAACUCCGGUGGCGAAGGCGGCUACGCUGGACCUCUUCUGACGCUGAGGCGGCGAAAGCUAGGGGAGCAAACGGG
rnacentral:rRNA from 1 species